rnacentral:rRNA from 1 species
GUGGCGCAGUUUGUUGUCGACCAUUGGAAGAUGGCUGCUGCGGGUUCGUACUGCCAGUGAUGAGUGCACUUUCUGCUGGUGCGCGCAAGGAUCGGUUGAUACGUCGGCUGAUGCAUGUAGUUGUUGCGCCUGCCUUCGGGUUUGGCAGCGAGCUACUGCGAUAGUCUGAAUGUGUCGACCGUGAUUCGCUCUGCCCGCUCUGUUAACUGCCAGGGGUGGUCUGUGGUAGGCAUCGGCUCUUCUACUGUAACAGGUAGAGUGUCGGUGUUCUGCUGCUUUCUGUUCUUGGUUUUGUUGACGGCAGAUAGGAUCCUUUGCGUCUGUGUCCUUCACCCACCUAUAUCGUCUUGAAACACGAGCCGAGAAGUCUAACAGAUGCGCAAGUCAAUGGGUUCAAUGAAUCCCAAAGGCGAAAUGAAAGUAAAGUCGUGGCCUUGCGCCCGGCGAGCUGAGAUCCAUGCCUCUGGGUAUGGCGCAUCAGCGUCCCGUCUCGUGAACCACUUGUGGAUUCUGAGUCGGAGAUAGAGCGUAUCUGUUGGGACCCGAAAGAUGGUGAACUAUGCCUGUGUAGGAUGAAGCCAGAAGAAAUUCUGGUGGAAGUCCGUAGCGUUUUUGACGUGCAAAUCAAUCGUCU